rnacentral:tRNA from 1 species
CUCGUGUAGGCAGUCGGUGACUGUCGGGCUCAUAACCCGAAGGUCGUCGGUUCAAAUCCGGCCCCCGCAACCA